rnacentral:rRNA from 1 species
AAAGGUGAAAAGAACCCCGGGAGGGGAGUGAAAUAGAACAUGAAACCUUAAGCUUACAAGCAGUAGGAGGACGACUUAUCGUUUGACUGCGUGCCUGUUGAAGAAUGAGCCGGCGACUUAUAGUUAGUGGCAGGUUAAGGUAGAGAAUACUGGAGCCACAGUGAAAGCGAGCUUUAAUAGAGCGUGUGUCACUAGUUAUAGACCCGAACCCGGAUGAUCUAACCAUGGCCAGGAUGAAGCCUAGGUAAUACUAUGUGGAGGUCCGAACCGACUGAUGUUGAAAAAUCAGCGGAUGAGUUGUGGUUAGGGGUGAAAUACCAAUCGAAUUCGGAGCUAGCUGGUUCUCCCCGAAAUGCGUUUUGGCGCAGCGGUAGAUGUUAUAGUUUAGGGGUAAAGCACUGUUACGUAUGCGGGCUGGUAAUUCGGUACCAAAUCGAGGCAAACUCUGAAUACUAAGUGAACAGUUAACCAGUAAGACUGUGGGGGAUAAGCUCCAUUGUCAAGAGGGAAACAGCCCAGAGCACCAGUUAAGGCCCUUAAAUAAUUACUAAGUGGUAAAGGAGGUGGGAGUGCAUAAACAAUCAGGAGGUUUGCUUAGAAGCAGCAAUCCUUUAAAGAGUGCGUAAUAGCUCACUGGUCAAGUGAUUCCGCGCCGACAAUGUA